rnacentral:rRNA from 1 species
UACGUAGGGCGCAAGCGUUAUCCGGAAUUAUUGGGCGUAAAGGGCUCGUAGGCGGUCUGUCGCGUCGGGAGUGAAAACUCAGGGCUUAACCCUGAGCCUGCUUCCGAUACGGGCAGACUAGAGGUAUGCAGGGGAGAACGGAAUUCCUGGUGUAGCGGUGGAAUGCGCAGAUAUCAGGAGGAACACCGGUGGCGAAGGCGGGUCUCUGGGCAGUAACUGACGCUGAGGAGCGAAAGCGUGGGGAGCGAACAGG